rnacentral:lncRNA from 1 species
UCACUCAGGGCAAUAUGCUCUCAGUGACUGAAAAGCCAGAUCCUCACAAGAGGGAAUUAUAUUUUGAAGCUGACAUCCAUCUUUCAUCUGUAGCAAGACCAUGUUAAAACUUAAUGGACAUGGAU